UACGGGGGGGGCAAGCGUUGUUCGGAAUCACUGGGCGUAAAGGGCGUGUAGGCGGUCCGCUAAGUCUGAUGUGAAAGCCCGGGGCUCACCCCCGGAAGGGCAUUGGAAACUGACGGACUCGAGUCCCGAAGAGGAGGGUGGAAUUCCUGGUGUAGCGGUGAAAUGCGUAGAUAUCAGGAGGAACACCGGUGGCGAAGGCGGCCCUCUGGACGGUGACUGACGCUGAGACGCGAAAGCGUGGGGAGCAAACAGG
rnacentral:rRNA from 1 species